GACGAACCGUGCGAACGUUGUUCGGAAUCACUGGGCUUAAAGGGCGCGUAGGCGGGCACGCAAGUCAGGGGUGAAAGCCCACGGCUCAACCGUGGAAGGGCCUUUGAUACUGCGUGCCUGGAGGGAGGUAGGGCGUGCGGAACUUCCGGUGGAGCGGUGAAAUGCGUAGAUAUCGGAAGGAACACCGGUGGCGAAAGCGGCGCGCUGGACCUCUUCUGACGCUGAGGCGCGAAAGCGUGGGGAGCGAUCCGG
rnacentral:rRNA from 1 species